CUACGGGGUGCUGCAGUGAGGAAUAUUGCACAAUGGGCGCAAGCCUGAUGCAGCCAUGCCGCGUGUAUGAAGAAGGCCUUCGGGUUGUAAAGUACUUUCAGCGGGGAGGAAGGGAGUAAAGUUAAUACCUUUGCUCAUUGACGUUACCCGCAGAAGAAGCACCGGCUAACUCCGUGCCAGCAGCCGCGGUAAUACGGAGGGUGCAAGCGUUAAUCGGAAUUACUGGGCGUAAAGCGCACGCAGGCGGUUUGUUAAGUCAGAUGUGAAAUCCCCGGGCUCAACCCGGGAACUGCAUCUGAUACUGGCAAGCUUGAGUCUCGUAGAGGGGGGUAGAAUUCCAGGUGUAGCGGUGAAAUGCGUAGAGAUCUGGAGGAAUACCGGUGGCGAAGGCGGCCCCCUGGACGAAGACUGACGCUCAGGUGCGAAAGCGUGGGGAGCAAACAGGAUUAGAUACCCGAGUAGUC
rnacentral:rRNA from 1 species